rnacentral:tRNA from 1 species
GGCGUCUUAGCCAAGUGGUAAGGCAUGGGACUGCAACUCCCUGAGCACCAGUUCAAAUCUGGUAGACGCCU